GACACGAGUCUCACACCGGAUGAAGCUGCUGCGCUGGGCGCGACGAUGUUCUAUGAGUACAGCCAGAGUGAGGAUUUCUGUAUGUUGGGCGCAAUUGUUCCUGUCGCACGUAAUACGCUGCCGGAUAACAUGCUGCCGUGCGAUGGGUCAACGUUUGACAAAGCGGAUUAUCCCCGGCUGUGGGACGUGCUGGACAAUCAAUACAAAAUAAGUGCUACUCAGUUCCAGACACCCAAUAUGGUAGGGCGUACACCGAUUGGAGCAGGCGUUGCUGCCUGGGAUGAAACGUACAACACCGGCGAUCAGGGGGGCGC
rnacentral:misc_RNA from 1 species